CAGUAGCCGCGGGAAUGCGAAGGGGGCUAGCGUUGCUCGGAAUUACUGGGCGUAAAGGGAGCGUAGGCGGAUCGUUUAGUCAGGGGUGAAAUCCCGGGGCUCAACCUCGGAACUGCCUUUGAUACUGGCGAUCUUGAGUAUGGGAGAGGUGUGUGGAACUCCGAGUGUAGAGGUGAAAUUCGUAGAUAUUCGGAAGAACACCAGUGGCGAAGGCGACACACUGGCCCAUUACUGACGCUGAGGCUCGAAAGCGUGGGGAGCAAACAGGAUUAGAUACCCCGGUAGUCCCUGUCUCUUAUAC
rnacentral:rRNA from 1 species